ACAGAAAUUACAUUGAUGAUUGUGGAUAACUCUGUGCGUAAAAAGGUAUAAAGCGGGGUUUUGCUGGGGAAUGCAGCAGUCAGUCAUUUUUCUGCAAUUUUUCUAUUGCGGCCUGCGGAGAACUCCCUAUAAUGCGCCUCCAUCGACACGGCGGAUGUGAAUCACUUCACACAAACAGCCGGUUCGGUUGAAGAGAAAAAUCCUGAAAUUCAGGGUUGACUCUGAAAGAGGAAAGCGUAAUAUACGCCACCUCGCGACAGUGAGCUGAAAGCCGCGUCGCAACUGCUCUUUAACAAUUUAUCAGACAAUCUGUGUGGGCACUCGAAGAUACGGAUUCUUAACGUCGCAAG
rnacentral:rRNA from 1 species